AUAGGUUACAAUUCAAGUAUAAGUGAUCAUUACAUUACAAUUCAUGGUCGGUUCAUAUAUUAGCUCAAAAGACAAUAAUUAAAUAGUUCAGCAAUCUAAUUUAUUCAAAAUCAAUCAAGGUCUAAGCCCAUAAUAGAAAUUCUAGGUAGAUCGAUGACAGAUUGUGCUGCAAUGCUGUCGAAAUGCCACCGCUCCUCGUGGAAGAAGGCAUUGUGAAGGAAAGGAGAGAACAAGACCCACAUACACAUCAAUAAGUCCGUUAUAGUCGAAACAGAUCUCAUUCUAGGCACCAAACACACAAGGAAAGUUGUUGGAACUUUGAGAAAAACAUGGUUGCAUCUCAUUGGCAACAAGAGACAAAGGAUGGCGGUGCUGGGCUCUUUAAUGUUCCACUUGCACGUUGCACCUUCCAGGCCAACCUUCUAGAUUGUACUCCAAGCCACGCAAGAUUAUACAGGCACACACCGACUUAACUGCUUCCAAAACCACUCUCCACCAAGAGGAGGAAAAACUGGACAAAAAAA
rnacentral:misc_RNA from 1 species